UACGUAGGGUGCAAGCGUUGCCCGGAUUUACUGGGCGUAAAGGGCGCGUAGGUGGCCACCGCAAGUCGACUGUGAAAUCUCCGGGCUUAACCCGGAAAGGUCAGCCGAUACUGCGGGGCUAGAGUGCAGAAGGGGCAACUGGAAUUCUCGGUGUAGCGGUGAAAUGCGUAGAUAUCGAGAGGAACACCUGCGGCGAAGGCGGGUUGCUGGGCUGACACUGACGCUGAGGCGCGAAAGCUAGGGGAGCGAACGGG
rnacentral:rRNA from 1 species